CUCCGUUAAGGUACUGUGGCGGAAUAAUAACCGGGAGGAAAUGACCUGGGAGUCUGAGGAAGAAAUGAAGAAGAAAUAUCCUCAAUUGUUCCCUAUGCCCACAGUUGGAUUGGAGUGGGGAGCAUUAGAAUCACCAAAGUGAUCAUAUUUCCAAGUGAAGAAGACUUGAAGAAAAGUUUUUCGACGAAACGGGAAGUGAGUUUGGAAAGGCUUAAGGAGCGUGAAAGGUAUGUAAAGCAAACCCAAUUCUUCCCUUGGCAUGCCCUUAGUGUAUUAGGGUCGGAUCCGGGCCUCGAAGGACCUCUUGGCCCUCGGAAUCCGCAAGACAAAAUUUCAGUUUUUCCUUCAGUAGAAUUGAACCAUUUUGAUACGUUUUUUCUGAAAUUAUGCAAUUGUGCUCUAAAUUACUCAGAAAGUCAUAGGAUGUCUGUAUAACCUUCGUAGAUGAUAUUAUAUGU